rnacentral:piRNA from 2 species
UGCUUUUUUGGGGAAACUGGAAGAG